GCCCUAAACGAUGUCGACUAGUCGUUCGGAGAGGUAACUCACUGAGUGACGCAGCUAACGCGUGAAGUCGACCGCCUGGGGAGUACGGCCGCAAGGUUAAAACUCAAAGGAAUUGACGGGGACCCGCACAAGCGGUGGAUGAUGUGGAUUAAUUCGAUGCAACGCGAAAAACCUUACCUACCCUUGACAUGCCUGGAAUCCUUGAGAGAUCAGGGAGUGCCUUCGGGAACCAGGACACAGGUGCUGCAUGGCUGUCGUCAGCUCGUGUCGUGAGAUGUUGGGUUAAGUCCCGCAACGAGCGCAACCCUUGUCGCUAAUUGCCAUCAUUUAGUUGGGCACUUUAGCGAGACUGCCGGUGACAAACCGGAGGAAGGUGGGGAUGACGUCAAGUCCUCAUGGCC
rnacentral:rRNA from 1 species